rnacentral:rRNA from 1 species
GACGAACCGUGCGAACGUUGUUCGGAAUCACUGGGCUUAAAGCGUGUGUAGGCGGAUUGGUAAGUACCUUGUGAAAUCCCACAGCUUAACUGUGGAACUGCUCGGUAUACUGCUGAUCUUGAGCCACUCAGGGGCUACCGGAACAAAUGGUGGAGCGGUGAAAUGCGUAGAUAUCAUUUGGAACGCCAAUGGUGAAAACAGGUAGCUGGGGGUGUGCUGACGCUGAGACACGAAAGCCAGGGGAGCAAACGGG